UGAUAAAUAUCUACCAUCUCCGUUCCAAUUCUCCUCUAACUCCUCCUGUAUAACGUGUCUCCCAACCUGUCUUACUUUCUUUAUGUUUAACUCACUAGUCCAGUUGGCGGGGCAGCAUUCUUAAACUUCCUAGUUCUCUAGUGAUCAGGUCAUUACUCAUAGUGUUCUUGCUCUAUUACUUCUGUAUUCUCACUACAAUGUUUUAUACAGGAGUUCUCAAACUUUGAUUUGCUUUUGAAUCAACCAAUCAUCUUAAUGCUGGGAUUAAAGGCAUGUGCCCCCUCAGUGGUA
ensembl:antisense